CAGUCGCCACGGUAAAACGUAGGUCCCGAGCGUUGUCCGGAUGUAUUGGGCGUAAAGCGAGCGCAGGCGGUUAGAUAAGUCUGAAGUUAAAGGCUGUGGCUUAACCAUAGUACGCUUUGGAAACUGUUUAACUUGAGUGCAAGAGGGGAGAGUGGAAUUCCAUGUGUAGCAGUGAAAUGCGUAGAUAUAUGGAGGAACACCGGUGGCGAAAGCGGCUCUCUGGCUUGUAACUGACGCUGAGGCUCGAAAGCGUGGGGAGCAAACAGGAUUAGAUACCCCGGUAGUCCCUGUCUCUUAUACC
rnacentral:rRNA from 1 species